rfam:Schistosoma mattheei strain Denwood, Zambia genome assembly, scaffold: SMTD_scaffold0016850
AUCAGGCUGACGAGUCCUAAAUAGGACGAAACGCACGUCAUGGAU